rnacentral:tRNA from 1 species
GGGCGUGUAAUCUAAAAGAUGAAAGAUUUUUACUUUUUCUAUGGGCAAUCCCCCGCACCCA